AGAGUUUGAUCAUGGCUCAGAAUCAACGCUGGCGGCGUGCCUAACACAUGCAAGUCGAACGCGAAAAGGGCUUCGGCUCUUAGUAGAGUGGCGAACGGGUGAGUAACACGUGGGUGACCUACCUUCGAAUGGGGGAUAACGUCCCGAAAGGGACGCUAAUACCGCAUAACAUCCUGCUUUUGAACAGGUGGAGAUCAAAGCCGGGGAUCGCAAGACCUGGCGUUUGAAGAGGGGCCCGCGUCUGAUUAGCUAGUUGGUGAGGUAACGGCCCACCAAGGCGACGAUCAGUAUCCGGCCUGAGAGGGCGGACGGACACACUGGGACUGAGACACGGCCCAGACUCCUACGGGAGGCAGCAGUGGGGAAUUGUUCGCAAUGGGCGCAAGCCUGACGACGCAACGCCGCGUGGAGGAUGAAGGUCUUCGGAUUGUAAACUCCUGUUGCCCGGGACGAAAAGCUUCGACCUAACACGUCGAAGUCUGACGGUACCGGGUGAGGAAGCCCCGGCUAACUCUGUGCCAGCAGCGGCGGUAAUUC
rnacentral:rRNA from 1 species